GGUCCCAUCGUCUAUCGGUUAGGACACAUGGUUUUCAUCCAUGAAAGAGGGGUUCGAUUCCCCUUGGGACCG
rnacentral:tRNA from 1 species